rnacentral:pre_miRNA from 4 species
AUCAAGGAUCUUAAACUUUGCCAGAGCUACAAAGGCAAAGUUUAAGAUCCUUGAAGU